rnacentral:tRNA from 1 species
GGGUUCGUGGUCUAGACCGGUUAUGACACCUCCUUGACAUGGAGGAGGUCGGCGGUUCAAUUCCGCCCGAACCCA